rnacentral:rRNA from 1 species
UUGAUCAUGGCUCAGAUUGAACGCUGGCGGCAGGCCUAACACAUGCAAGUCGAACGGUAACAGGAAGCAGCUUGCUGCUUCGCUGACGAGUGGCGGACGGGUGAGUAAUGUCUGGGAAACUGCCUGAUGGAGGGGGAUAACUACUGGAAACGGUGGCUAAUACCGCAUAACGUCGCAAGACCAAAGAGGGGGACCUUCGGGCCUCUUGCCAUCAGAUGUGCCCAGAUGGGAUUAGCUUGUUGGUGGGGUAACGGCCCACCAAGGCGACGAUCCCUAGCUGGUCUGAGAGGAUGACCAGCCACACUGGAACUGAGACACGGUCCAGACUCCUACGGGAGGCAGCAGUGGGGAAUAUUGCACAAUGGGCGCAAGCCUGAUGCAGCCAUGCCGCGUGUAUGAAGAAGGCCUUCGGGUUGUAAAGUACUUUCAGCGGGGAGGAAGGCGAUAAGGUUAAUAACCUUGUUGAUUGACGUUACCCGCAGAAGAAGCACCGGCUAACUCCGUGCCAGCAGCCGCGGUAAUACGGAGGGUGCAAGCGUUAAUCGGAAUUACUGGGCGUAAAGCGCACGCAGGCGGUCUGUCAAGUCGGAUGUGAAAUCCCCGGGCUGAACCUGGGAACUGCAUCCGAAACUGGCAAGCUUGAGUCUCGUAGAGGGGGGUAGAAUUCCAGGUGUAGCGGUGAAAUGCGUAGAGAUCUGGAGGAAUACCGGUGGCGAAGGCGGCCCCCUGGACGAAGACUGACGCUCAGGUGCGAAAGGGUGGGGAGCAAACAGGAUUAGAUACCCUGGUAGUCCACGCCGUAAACGAUGUCGACUUGGAGGUUGUGCCCUUGAGGCGUGGCUUCCGGAGCUAACGCGUUAAGUCGACCGCCUGGGGAGUACGGCCGCAAGGUUAAAACUCAAAUGAAUUGACGGGGGCCCGCACAAGCGGUGGAGCAUGUGGUUUAAUUCGAUGCAACGCGAAGAACCUUACCUGGUCUUGACAUCCACAGAACUUAGCAGAGAUGCUUUGGUGCCUUCGGGAACUGUGAGACAGGUGCUGCAUGGCUGUCGUCAGCUCGUGUUGUGAAAUGUUGGGUUAAGUCCCGCAACGAGCGCAACCCUUAUCCUUUGUUGCCAGCGAUCAGGUCGGGAACUCAAAGGAGACUGCCAGUGAUAAACUGGAGGAAGGUGGGGAUGACGUCAAGUCAUCAUGGCCCUUACGACCAGGGCUACACACGUGCUACAAUGGCGCAUACAAAGAGAAGCGACCUCGCGAGAGCAAGCGGACCUCAUAAAGUGCGUCGUAGUCCGGAUUGGAGUCUGCAACUCGACUCCAUGAAGUCGGAAUCGCUAGUAAUCGUGGAUCAGAAUGCCACGGUGAAUACGUUCCCGGGCCUUGUACACACCGCCCGUCACACCAUGGGAGUGGGUUGCAAAAGAAGUAGGUAGCUUAACCUUCGGGAGGGCGCUUACCACUUUGUGAUUCAUGACUGGGGUGAAGUCGUAACAAGGUAACC